CUGGCGUAUCAUAGAUGGGCAAAAUGGAGUUCUUACCCUCAAGUUGUUCGUGACUAAUAGGGAUCCCACUCAGGCUCAACUUGGUGCCCAGAGGUCUGGUGAGGUGGAGGAGGCGAGAGGCGUUAGGUGGCUUCUCAGACAUGCAGAGGUCAGGCAGGGACAGAGAAUGAGGUGUUUCUGGCAAAUGAGGGGCACUGCCCAGGCCAAGGUGCUGAGGUGCCCUGGCCAGAUGACGUGCUUCAGCGUGGCUGGGCCCAAGGAGCCAAUGAGGGUCUUUUGGGAGGGAGUAAGUCUGGAGAGAGAACAGGGCCCAGGCCCACCUGGCUUUGCAGGCCCCAUGAAUUUAACUUCAUACAAAGGUGGCCAGAAGCAAUUGUGUUCAGGGACAAGCAAGAAGUGGUGUGGUCAGAUCUGCAUUUUAGAAAAAUAAUGCUGGUUAUAAUCUGGCCCUGGGGGUGGGAGCGUCCAGAGGGGGGACAGGGAGACAGCGAGGAGAUUAUGGUGGCCAGGCAGGAGGGGACUGGUGGUGGCCUGGACUGGGGAAACCAGAGGAGGUGGAAGGAAGGUGAACACAGCUGACGUUUUACUGAGCUGAGUGCUCAGUGUCUGCCAGGCCCUGUGUUCUAAGCACAUUAGACAUAUCGUCUCGCGUACCCCUCCAGUCGAUUCUCGGGGCCCCAUUGUACAGAUAAAGAAAAGGCUUGGGGAUUAGAGGAUCAGGUAAGGCAAUAUAAGAGUAGCAAAAACAAAUUGAAGAGCUUGCUCAGGCUUGACAAGGUGGGGGUUGCCAUCCAUGAGACCCUAGCCCUGGACCAGGAUGGGCCAGAGGCUGGAGAACACGAGUUUCGUUUGGACAUGUUGUCUGGGGGCCUUUGUGACAUCCAAGCAGAGAGGUCCCCUGCAGAGUUAGACAUUCAUUCAGGCCUGAGGCUCUGGGAGAAGCCGGGUUGACUGUAAGAGGUUUGGGGAUCCAUGGCUAGAAGCCAUGGACGCAGGUGAACUUGGCCAGGGAGCACGUGGAGAGUGAAGAGAGGUGCAAACACAGGGAGCCCCGGUGUGUGGGGCCAGGAAGGGAGAGCAGUGGCAAAGGAGCGGCUAAGGGGGCCGUCAGAGGUAGGGGAGUCCUGUGGGGCACGAGGAGGCUUCUCAGAGCACAGGGGAGGGGAGACAAGGAAGCAGAUGUUCACGUCAUCCCUCAUUGCAGAGACAGUUGAGAAGUAUGCACUAGAAACAAAGAACAGGGUCACCAUCAGGCCUGCUGGAGUGGUUUUCAUGGGGCAAUGGGGGCCGGAGCCAGAAGGGGACUGAGUGACAGGCGAGGGAGCGGGACCAGACUGGGGCCUGCCUUUCCACAGCAUGGCCAUGGAGGUGAGGGGCGAGCGGGGGGGGGAGGCGGCUGAGGGCUUACUUACUGUUGAGAAAUGAAGGUUUGCCUUUAGCAUGUCCUAAAAUUUUCCAUUUACAGCCUCGAUUUUAAUUAAUUGGUAGAGCUUCGGUAACUCCAUCCUACUGGGAACUUACAAAGUACAGUAAAACUUCAGCUAGCCAGAAUUCUUGGCAAACGAGCCACUCAGGAAAACGAACAUUUAUUGGCGUGAAAAGAUUUGAAAUAUAGGAUUUCUUUUUAAAAACAUUUUUAGUAUGGAUAUAAUCACAUAAACAUAUGCAGUAGGGAGAAGACUGUAAUGAACCCCCAUAUCCUCACCAUCCCACAUGAACAGUAGCUCCAGACCAGUCCUGUGCCCUCCACACCCCGCUGCCCCCAAACUCUGGGACACUUGGAAGCAAACCCUAGACAUUUUAUCACUUCAUUUGUACAGCUUUGUUACGUUUCUCUAAGAGACAAACCCUUUUUUAAAAACUGUGACCACAAUACCAUUAUCACGCCUAAAAUCUUUAACAAUAAUUCCUUAAUUUAAUCAAGCAUUCAUUGUUCGGAUUCCCCAACAGUCUCAUUUUUCCCCCCCCCAGUUGGUGGGUUAAAAUUAGGCUCCAAACAAGUCCACACAUGGCGUUUAUUUGCUCUGUCUGUUAAGACUCCCUUUCUUCUCUUCGUGUCAUUUGCGUGUUGAGGAAACCGGGCUGCCUGGAGGCAUGUGUGUUUGGGAAUGUGGGACAGAGCUGGGCACCACAGCGGAGCGAGCAGGACGGGGAAGUCCGGGGUUGGCAGGAUGAUGACCAGAUAGUCGGGACACCUAGCUGCGGGAAGGAGGCAGGAUGUGGAGGCCCGUCCUGAGCAAGGGGAGAGGCCAGGGCUGCUGAGGACUGGGGCCUGUCCUCAUGAUCCCUGAGGCCUUACGGCUGCCGGAGCUGAAGAGAGGUGGAAAGAUGGCCAGGGCCCAGGAAUGGGGCAGAGCCAGGUGGGCGACAGGUCAGGGGUCAGGCUGGAGAUGAGGAAGGGGCUGGGCCUGAGGUCAGGCCUAGAAGGAACAGGAUGUCUGUUGGGGCUGAAGGGAGAGAGGGGAGUGCCAAAAGAAACCAGCUCCUCCCCACCUGGCCCCGUCCCCAGGGCCCCUCCCCUGGCCUCCCAGCUGCGGCUCCACUCAGGGGCCCAGACACCAGUUCCCUUCACAAUGCUGGUGAUCAGGGGCCCUGAUCCCUUGUUCUGCCUUCUCCUCCUCCUGCUCGUGGGCCCCCACAACCCCGUGGGGGCCAGUCCUCCUCAGAGAAGGUUUGAGUAUAAGCUCAGCUUCAAAGGACCAAGACUGGCGUUGCCUGGGGCUGGAAUACCCUUCUGGAGCCAUCAUGGAGAUGCCAUACUGGGCCUGGAGGCAGUGCGGCUGGCCCCAUCCAUGCGGAACCGCAGCGGCGCCGUGUGGAGCAGGGUCCCUGUCCCCUUCUCUGCCUGGGAGGUGCAUGUGCAGAUGAGGGUGACCGGGCCAGGGCGGCGGGGAGCCCAGGGCAUGGCCGUGUGGUACACCCGGGGCAGGGGCCAAGUAGGCUCUGUCCUGGAGGGGCUGGCCUCGUGGGACGGCAUCGGGAUUCUCUUCGACUCCUCCACCGAGGAUACCCAGAACAGCCCCAUCAUCCGUGUACUGGCCAGUGAUGCGCACACUCGCUACGAGCCACGUGGGGAUGCAGCCAGCGGGGUGCUGGGCUCCUGCCACCGGGACUUCCGUAACCUGCCGAACCCCCUCAGAGUUCAGAUCACCUACUGGGGGCAGAGGCUGCGGGUGUCCUUGAACAGUGGCCUCACUCCCAAUGACUUAGAUGAGGUCUGUGUUGACGUGGGUCCACUGCUUUUGGCUCCUGGAGGUUUCUUUGGGGUCUCGGCAGCCACUGGCACCCUGGCAGAUGACCAUGACAUCCUGUCCUUCCUGACCUUCAGUCUGAGUGAGCCGGAUCCAAAGCCUCCCCCGUCGCCCUUUCUGGAGAUGGAGCAGCUCCGGCUGGUGAAGCAGCUGGCAGGGCUUCGGGCAAGGCUGGCCCUGGGCGCCAGGGAGGAUGUGAUCCCAAAGCUGAGCUCCGAAGUCCAGGAAGAGGGAAAAAGGAUCCUUGGCCUGGAAGAGAUGCUGGGCAGACACCGCCAGAUCCUGCAGGCUCUCCAGGGUCUCUCCAGACAGUUGGCCCAGGCCGAGAGGCAGUGGAAGAAGCACCUGGGGACCCCAGGCCAUGCCAGGCCUGAGGGAGCCUGGGAUUCUGCCAAGGUCAGCGCCCUGCUCCGUGGACAGAGGACUCUGCUCCAGGACCUGCAAGAGAUGAGGGAUGCGGCUGCCCACGUGGUCUCAAAAGCCCAGCUCUUCUAUCUGCCUGUGGGCACCAAGCAUCAUUUCUCAGAGCUGGCCCAGAUCCUGGGCCUCCUGCAGAAGGACCUUCGGGGCCCACUGAAAGCGGCAGCCAAGAACCGCCGCCCACCUGGCCAACCCCCAGGAGCCUCCUCGUGCCUGCGGCCCAGCAUCUUCUUGUUCUUCCUCCUCAUUCAGACUAUAGGCUUCUUCUGUUACGUACACUUCAGUAGGCAGGAGCUGGACAAGAGCCUUCAGGACUGUUUGUCCACAGGCAGCCCUCCUCUGUGUCCUGCACCACGCAUUCCUGGGGCCCUGGGGAUUCUGAGGAGGCAACCUCUCUCCUCCAGCAUACACGCAUGACUCACCUCAAAGCCCUGAAGGAAUCUCCCUUCUCCUGAAGGAAGUGGAUGGUGUCCAGGGGGUAGCUGGGAGUGGGCUCCAAGCGGGCAAGGACAUCAAGGACUGGUCUGAUUGCCAAAAGACCAGAUACCCCACAAGCCUCGAGCCCUGGACUGUGGAUCGAGAGGGAGUCACAACUGUGGUAAUUCUGUCCCCAGAACAAAGAGUGGAAUCUCCAGGUGCCCCUCUUGGCCCAGCCCAGCCAGCAUCACCAUGAACAACUCUCUCCCUCCCCAUUUCCUGUAGCUCUAGGGGUCAGCAGAGCUGGCAUAUGAGGGAGAACUCUGAGGCAACCCAUGGAGACAUAACUGGGAUUCCCGCUUUCCGGUCUCCCUUUCCCAGCGUCCAGCUCUUUGGGCAGCUGCUGGGGCAGCGGGGUGGGGAGGAUGGUGUAGGGCCCAGGGCUGGAUCUUUGCCCCUUGCUGCCACUUGGAUCUGCCAGCUGAAAUCCUGGCUAUCAGCGACCUGGGAGAGGAGGAAGUGGGGGGAGAGUAGGAAACAGGGUUCUGGACACGCAUCGGUGCAGCCCCUUUCCCUGGGGAGCGACCCCACCCCGCGCAGGCCCUAAUCCGUUGUUAGCAAUGCCCAGGCGGAGCUUGGCGUUGAAGGAGGCACGUGGGGGAGGCGGGAGUG